rnacentral:rRNA from 1 species
AUUGAACGCUAGCGGGAGGCUUAACACAUGCAAGUCGAACGAGUGGCGGACGGGUGAGUAAUAUAUGGGAAACUGCCCGGUAGAGGGGGAUAACUACUGGAAACGGUGGCUAAUACCGCAUACUAUUAGAUGUGCCCAGAUGGGAUUAGCUAGUUGGUGGGGUAACGGCUCACCUAGGCGACGAUCCCUAGCUGGUCUGAGAGGAUGACCAGCCACACUGGAACUGAGACACGGUCCAGACUCCUACGGGAGGCAGCAGUGGGGAAUAUUGCACAAUGGGCGCAAGCCUGAUGCAGCCAUGCCGCGUGUGUGAAGAAGGCCUUCGGGUUGUAAAGUACUUUCAGCGGGGAGGCGUUACCCGCAGAAGAAGCACCGGCUAACUCCGUGCCAGCAGCCGCGGUAAUUC